GACGAACGCUGGCGGCGUGCUUAACACAUGCAAGUCGAACGGAAAGGCCCCCACCUUGGUGGGGGUGCUCGAGUGGCGAACGGGUGAGUAACACGUGGGUGAUCUGCCCUGUACUUCGGGAUAAGCUUGGGAAACUGGGUCUAAUACCGGAUAGGACCAUGGUUUAGUGUCUCAUGGUGGAAAAAUUAUUGUUUUGGUGCAGGAUGAGCUCGCGGCCUAUCAGCUUGUUGGUGGGGUAAUGGCCUACCAAGGCGUCGACGGGUAGCCGGCCUGAGAGGGUGGACGGCCACAUUGGGACUGAGAUACGGCCCAGACUCCUACGGGAGGCAGCAGUGGGGAAUAUGGCACAAUGGGCGCAAGCCUGAUGCAGCGACGCCGCGUGGGGGAUGACGGCCUUCGGGUUGUAAACUCCUUUCGUUAGGGACGAAGCCACACCUUUUUUGGGUGUGGUGACGGUACCUUUGUUAAGAAGCACCGGCUAACUACGUG
rnacentral:rRNA from 1 species